CUACUUCUAUUGGGAAUCCUAGAAGGUCACCAACUCUGCUGAGGCCUUCUUGAGUAUAUAAGUCAAAAGGGAUUCCUCUAAAGUGAGCCCAUAACAGGAUUUAAGUGAACGUAGGAGGCUGGAGCGCGACUGUAGCAGACCAUUGAGCAACAUAGAAAAGUACAUUCCCUAUGUGCGAGAAUUCCUGCUCCACAAUUUUCUUUCUUAUUGUUGAGUUGGGAAUUCUUACUAACAUAGAUCUUGUCUCUGGUCGUAGGUGGAUCUCAAGUUUCAUACCACGGCCCCAAAUAUGAGUUAGGACACUCUGGAUUUGAGCAAAGGCAGGGGUUUUCCCUAAGAAAACUCCUAUGAUGAAGUCUUGGUGUAGAUCUGCUCCUUUUUGGAACACCGAAUCUGGAAUUUUUAUCCUUGGCUUUUCCUCAGCAGAGAAACAAGGGUUAGCAAUCUUUUUUAGGGAUAUGUCUGUUGAUUGUUGGAGAUUCUUUGCCCAGUUUGCAGGAGGAGGUUUGAAAGGUUGGUUUCCAGGGUUUUUGGAUGAAGAAGAGGUGGGGGCGGUUGGAGCUGGGACGAUGGAUGGGGCUGCAGUGUUUAGGGAGGCACCAGCAAUAGUGUUUUGUUGAGGCUGAGAUUGAGGAAAAGGGUCAGUAAUUCUGAGUAGAGGACUCGAGGAAUUCAAAGUGGGAGCUGGAAUCCCUAGGUCGCUACUUACAACUGGAUUAGUAGGAACUGCAUGUUCAGUAGAUACAUGAGUAAUGUUUGAAUCUCCUUCAGCUGUUGCCAGCUGGAGAGUAAUGGGGGUACCAGAAACAAGAGCAGAGGAGCCAAAUCCUGGAGCAUUCACAAGAGGAAGGUUCCAAGGAGAGUGGUGAGUUGAAAAAGACAUGGGAGCAAAAGGGGG
rnacentral:lncRNA from 1 species